GCUCAGAGCCCCAUCCAACCUGUCCUUGAAUAUUUCUAGGGAUGGGGCACCCACAGCUUCUCAGGGCAGCUUCUUCCAGUGUUUUACUACCCUGUAGCAGAGGCCAAGUGGAGUUAGAGCACAGGCAGGCAGAGGACCAGUUGAUUUUAUUGCUCAUUGCCUGAAGGUCCUCAUUGUGGAUCAUUUACUCUCUUUCCCAACUAUGAAAAUGGCUGAUGGAAAACUGUAUGCUGGGAUGGCUUCACUGACUAGGCUGUGGGUUUGGCAAGGUUUUCGUCUGUCUCCUGUGGAAGCUUUUGGGAUGGAAUACAGGGAUAUUGCAUGCCAAUAUGGAGAGUCAGCAUCCAGUACUGAGGCACAGGAGGAAUUUUCACAGCCUUUGGCUUCUCUUUGCUGUGUGCCAGCUGAACCACAAUUUGUUCCUUCUUGAAUACAUCCUGCAACUGAAGAAGCAGACUGUGCAACCAUCCUAGUCAUAAAAGGUCCUCAAGACAGUGAUUCCACUGUGAAUACAAACAAAUUCAUCUGUUGCAUUACAUUCUCCACCAGUUGCAAUAGAAUAAAGCUUGCUCCUGGCAGGUUGCCUCUUUUUCCCUGGCACAACUUGAAGCAGGAAUCUCAAUAAAUAGGUAGGCA